UACGAAGGGGGCUAGCGUUGUUCGGAAUCACUGGGCGUAAAGCGCACGCAGGCGGAUUGAUAAGUCAGGGGUGAAAUCCCGGAGCUCAACUUCGGAAUUGCCUUUGAUACUGUCUGUCUUCGAGUUCGGGAGAGGUUGGCGGAAUUCCUAGUGUAGAGGUGAAAUUCGUAGAUAUUCGCAAGAACACCGGUGGCGAAGGCGGCCAACUGGACCAUCACUGACGCUGAGGCGCGAAAGCGUGGGGAGCAAACAGG
rnacentral:rRNA from 1 species